AGCUUUAUAUUCAUCCAAUGAUUAUAGAAUGCAAUUCUAUAGGAGUAGCUAAAACUACUAAGGCUU
rnacentral:tRNA from 1 species